GUGCCAGCAGCCGCGGUAAUACGUAGGUGGCAAGCGUUGUCCGGAAUUAUUGGGCGUAAAGCGCGCGCAGGUGGUUCCUUAAGUCUGAUGUGAAAGCCCACGGCUCAACCGUGGAGGGUCAUUGGAAACUGGGGAACUUGAGUGCAGAAGAGGAAAGUGGAAUUCCAAGUGUAGCGGUGAAAUGCGUAGAGAUUUGGAGGAACACCAGUGGCGAAGGCGACUUUCUGGUCUGUAACUGACACUGAGGCGCGAAAGCGUGGGGAGCAAACAGGAUUAGAUACCCUGGUAGUCC
rnacentral:rRNA from 1 species